AAGGCUUUAGCUUAAUUAAAGUGCCUGCUUUGCAUGCAGAAGAUGUGGGUUAGAUCCCCGCAAGCUUUA
rnacentral:tRNA from 1 species